GACGAACGCUGGCGGCGUGCUUAACACAUGCAAGUCGAGCGGUAAGGCCCUUUCGGGGGUACGACGAGCGGCGAACGGGUAGAGUAACACGUGGGUGACCUGCCCUCAGCUCUGGGAGUAAGCCUGGGAAACCGGGGUCUAAUACUGGAUAUGACUCCAUGACGCAUGUUGUGGGGUGGAAAGCCUUGUGCGGCUGAGGAUGGGCCCGCGGCCUAUCAGCUUGUUGGUGGGGUGAUGGCCUACCAAGGCGACGACGGGUAGCCGGCCUGAGAGGGCGACCGGCCACACUGGGACUGAGACACGGCCCAGACUCCUACGGGAGGCAGCAGUGGGGAAUCUUGCGCAAUGGGCGAAAGCCUGACGCAGCGACGCCGCGUGAGGGACGACGGCCU
rnacentral:rRNA from 1 species